rnacentral:rRNA from 1 species
UGGGGAAUCUUGCACAAUGGGGGAAACCCUGAUGCAGCGACGCCGCGUGAACGAUGAAGCCCUUCGGGGUGUAAAGUUCUUUCGACAGGAACGAUAAUGACGGUACCUGGAGAAGAAGCUGCGGCUAACUACGUGCCAGCAGCCGCGGUAAUACGUAGGCAGCGAGCGUUGUUCGGAGUUACUGGGCGUAAGGAGUGCGUAGGCGGCGAGCCAAGUUUGGUGUGAAAUCUCCCGGCUUAACCGGGAGGGUGCGCCGAAAACUGGUUGGCUGGAGUAUGGGAGAGGAAAGCGGAAUUCCUGGUGUAGCGGUGAAAUGCGUAGAUAUCAGGAGGAACACCUGCGGUGUAGACAGCUUUCUGGACCAAACCUGACGCUGAGGCACGAAAGCGUGGGUAGCAAACA